rnacentral:tRNA from 1 species
ACCUAGCUGGCUCAGUCAGUAGAGCAUGUGACUUUUGAUUUCGGAGUUGUAGGUUCAAGCCCCACAUUGGGUG